AAUCAAGGCAGAGUAAGACUUUGAAGGGCAAUUGAGAAGGCUUUCAUUCCUAAGGCAUAUAUGCGCGGCAGGCCCUUUCUCCAGUCUGAUUUUGAUUUCCUGAACCCUGGACCUAUCUCUCUCAUGCAUGAAAAAUCCCCAACCAAAGCUCUAUCUCUCUCUCGAUUCUUCCCCCCUCGCAUUCUCUCCUUCGUGUGACACCAGAAGCCGAAGCCCCCAUUCGGCCUUUGUUCACACUGCCCGGGUCUGUCGCCCUCUAGUUCGUGAGCCCUAGCUGACGUCAACCCCUCUGCUUGUCUUACCUGGUUGUAAGAAGUCCAGUCCCCCGCCUUAGCUACUAGCCUCCAUCCCUUUGCAAGUUUGCUCUAUUAUAAAGAUUAUCAUUCGGCUCAAUUUGGGAUGUAAACUCAUACUGCAGGGGAUGAAAUGGCAUGGCACAUUGUUGACUCAGAUAAAGAACGGAAAUGCGUUGCGUGACCUGCUGCA